rnacentral:rRNA from 1 species
AGAGUUUGAUCCUGGCUCAGAUUGAACGCUGGCGGCAUUCCUUACACAUGCAAGUCGAACGGCAGCAUGAUCUAGCUUGCUAGAUUGAUGGCGAGUGGCGAACGGGUGAGUAAUACAUCGGAACGUGCCCUGUAGUGGGGGAUAACUAGUCGAAAGAUUAGCUAAUACCGCAUACGACCUGAGGGUGAAAGUGGGGGACCGCAAGGCCUCAUGCUAUAGGAGCGGCCGAUGUCUGAUUAGCUAGUUGGUGGGGUAAAGGCCCACCAAGGCGACGAUCAGUAGCUGGUCUGAGAGGACGAUCAGCCACACUGGGACUGAGACACGGCCCAGACUCCUACGGGAGGCAGCAGUGGGGAAUUUUGGACAAUGGGCGAAAGCCUGAUCCAGCAAUGCCGCGUGUGUGAAGAAGGCCUUCGGGUUGUAAAGCACUUUUGUCCGGAAAGAAAUGGCUCUGGUUAAUACCUGGGGUCGAUGACGGUACCGGAAGAAUAAGGACCGGCUAACUACGUGCCAGCAGCCGCGGUAAUACGUAGG